rnacentral:rRNA from 1 species
UACGAAGGGGGCUAGCGUUGCUCGGAAUUACUGGGCGUAAAGCGCACGUAGGCGGGUCAUUAAGUCGGGGGUGAAAUCCUGGAGCUCAACUCCAGAACUGCCUCCGAAACUGAUGAUCUUGAGUUCGGGAGAGGUGAGUGGAACUGCGAGUGUAGAGGUGAAAUUCGUAGAUAUUCGCAAGAACACCAGUGGCGAAGGCGGCUCACUGGCCCGAUACUGACGCUGAGGUGCGAAAGCUAGGGGAGCGAACGGG